CCUCUUGGUCCCGGUAAUGUAUGGAGGUCGAGGGAAAGGGCUCUGCCCUUCCUGGCGUCAUAUCUUCGGCAUGGAAGGCUUCCAUUCCGUGGGUUCUAACCUCAAAUGCCAGGCUCCAA